AGUUCGGCAGCUCCGGGGGGGCGGUGUUCUAUAUUCUCUCCAACCCCAACGAUUAAACGAUAUGGAGAGGAGAGCAGCGACGUGGCCCUUGAGAAGCCUCUCUUCUCCUUCCUCUACUCUCCCUCUCCGUUUCUCCUCGCCUCCUUACCAAUCUUAACGGUAGAACCACCAAAAGAGGCCAAAAUCCUAUAGUUUUCUGCCAUAACUCUGGGAUCUUUUCCGACCGAUUCUGCCGCGAAGUUGGGAUUUUCCCGCUAAAAUCAACGGAUUCUGAUCUAACGCUGUGAUAUUUCAGCUGAAAUUGCGAUCCCCCCCCCCUCUCUAAAAAGAGAUUUAUUCUUAUCCGAAGUCGUGAUUUUUUAUUUUCCCCCGCUAUUAAAAUCGAUUGCUGCCGAGCAAAAUACUAGCGAUUCAGAGAGACCCACCCGGAAAAUCCCUCAAAGAGCGGGGCCAUGGCCGAUUCUUCGGAGCGGAAGCGCUCUCUAAAGCUCUCCCUCUUCGUGGGGCUGACCGAGUCCUCCGCGAGCGAGCUCAACGCCGCUCGAUCACCGAGGUGCUUCGACGGCGGGGCCGUCGGUCUCGGGAUCGUGGCGGCGAUGAGCAACGACGUCGGCGACGUGAGUCCUGCGAGGGUGGCGGCCCCGGCCCUGUCCCGAUCCGACCCGAUCCCGAUCGUCCUGGGGAGGCCCGCAGCCAAGCCGAGGGGCCCCGCCGCGAGGGGGGAGGAGGACAAGGAGGACGUGCAGCUAUCGGAGUGCUACACGUGUGUGAUCUCGCACGUGCGUGGCAACCCUGUGACGAAGAGGGUAUACUUCGACGAUGGCUCCGAUGGCAUAGACGGAGGCAACCCUGUGACGAGGAUGAGUUCGGGGGUGUUUUUUGAGUCGGCGGCCCCGCCUCCGUAGGCGAAGGAGUUCUUGAGCCGCUGCUUUUUGUGCCAGAAGGAGCUUCGUGGGCUGGAUGUUUUCAUGUACAGAGGAGAGAGAGGCUUCUGCAGUGUGGAAUGCAGACGCCAGCAAAUUAGAAGCGAUGAGCACGGGGCAAAAUGUGGGCCUGAAGAGUCACCUUGUUCGGCUCCUUAAUUUUCUUUGCGCGCCUCGUGAUGCAGCGGCUUAACUGUAUUACGGUUAAUCUCCCUUUGGUUUGCUGGAGGGCCGAUGCAGUAUCAAGCAUCAGCCCGAGCUUUGAGGGCCAGCAGAUCGAGUUUAAACUGGGAUGAUAUCACCAACUUUGAUCUGCAUUUCCUAUGUGAGGACUUAGGCACGAUCCCAGAUGCUAUUGCUGUCGCUGUAUGGCCAAAUGCUUAUCAGGUUCGGUUGGCUGUUAAGUUCUUUGGUCCGUACAAUCUAAUGCCGGAGUCCUCUUCACCUCUCAGUGAUGACCGAGAUGAACCUGGUGACUCGGACUCGGACUUGAGAACCAUACCAAGAAUGUAGGGGCAAGCCCUCCAAUUCCCGUUGUCUCUCCCCGCAGCAGGGUUUCCGUGAAUAUCUGUUGUUCCAUCUUUUGUGAAUUUGUCUUCGGCUUUCU